UACCUACGGGACGCAGCAGUGGGGAAUAUUGGUCAAUGGCCGAGAGGCUGAACCAGCCAAGUCGCGUGAGGGAAGAAUGUCCUAAGGAUUGUAAACCUCUUUUGUCGGGGAGCAAAAAGGCUCUGCGGAGUCGUAUUGAGAGUACCCGAAGAAAAAGCAUCGGCUAACUCCGUGCCAGCAGCCGCGGUAAUACGGAGGAUGCGAGCGUUAUCCGGAUUUAUUGGGUUUAAAGGGUGCGCAGGCGGCCUGUUAAGUCAGCGGUAAAAGCCCGGGGCUCAACCCCGGCGAGCCGUUGAAACUGGCGG
rnacentral:rRNA from 1 species